rnacentral:lncRNA from 1 species
UUUAUCUAUUAAACUAGAGGUACAAUAUUUCAUAAUAAAAAGUCUUCUCAUUUCAACUCAUGCUCAACUGCACAGUUACACCAGUAUUUAACUCAAGUGAAUACCUGGAUUAGAGAAAUAUUACAGAAAAGGAAAAGGAUCAGCAGUAGCAAAGAAACAAUAGCAAAUAGCAACAGCAGUAGCAAAUUGAAAACCCAUGGAAAGAUUUUAAAACCAACAGAGAUGAUUCCACAUCCAAUAAACAGAUUAAAAAAUAAUCCAAUGGCAACACCAAUAUCAGAAACCAAAGAAGAACCCAAGAAUUAAAUCCGAAAAUCAGCAGUGCCAAAUGCAAACCACAGAAGCAGUCACAGUAUUCUGAUUUUUAGCAGUAAAUACGGAAUUUUAAGUUCUGAAAUUUUUAUUUUUCUCUAAUAUUGAAAUCCUUUUUUCUCUCUAAUUUAUGUCCCCCCUUAUAUGUGAAAAAUGACUUCUAAUUUAUAACCAAAGCAAGACUCUUUCUCCCCUCCCCUUUAAUUAUUAUUCUUACUUUUACUAUUACCCCACUCCUUUCUUUACUUUCCAGCUUUUUUAUUAUUAAUUCAAAAAGUAGUCAAACAUGGACCUCACAGCCUCCCCCUUUUACUUUAAUAAUUAUGUCUUGUCCCUCACUACCAUUUGUCUUGUCCCCCACCAUGUAUUAAAUAAUUUUUUAAUUUUUAUUCCAAAAAUAUCCCUCUCAAACUAUUAAAGUUACCAUUAUACCCUCAUCCCUUUCAAUAUGCACUAAGAACGUGUCAAUUAUAACCAAUUCAAGCCUAACAAUUGACUAAUUAAACACACGAAACUAAUUUUCAAUCAAUAAAUUAAGAUAACAUGGUCAGAUUCACACCAGAAACUCACUUAACAGAACAAACAAUAGAUUCAAAUCACUUAAACUCAAUCUUCAAUUGAACUUCAAAUUAAAUCUAACAACAUUACAAUCAAGAUAAAGGAUUCAAGUGAAUAAACUAAAUAUUUCUAUUUAAAAACUAAAUAAGAACAAACAAAAUAAAAUAAAUUGAAGAAAUAAUCAUGAAAAGAUAAACAACGAACAAGAAAAGAAUCAAACAUAUAACGAUUUCAAAUUCAAGAAUAUCAAACAAAUUACGGACAUAAACUUAAACCAACUAACCGGAUCGGAACAACGACGAACUCGAAUGAAAACAAAUGUGCCCUGAAACUUUGAAACCAAAUAACUCGAACCUGCCCAGAACUUUUUUUGUAUGUUUUUCCGUUUGGUUUUACGUGAUGAAGCUGGACGACGAACAUGGUGUUCACGUCGUGGAACGAGGCGAAGCUGAAGCAGAAACGGUGAGAGGGGGCUGUUUCAGGUCUUAUGGACGUUAACAGUAGGUGUUUGGCAUGGGUUUGUGACGCCUCUUGACGAUGAGAGGGGGACAGCGACGAGUGACGGUUCUGACUGGUUAUUUGGUCGUGAGGUGAAGGAUGAAUGGUUGUUUGGACGAGGGCUGGAGUGAGGCGGAACAAGGGGCUGGUCGCUUGGUCAGGGGUCUGGUCGGGAAGGGAUAUCUUGGUCGUUUGGGUGAAGGAGGUGGGCGGUUGUAACGACCUAACCCGUCGUUCCGUGUAUUUCUGCCCCGUUUUCCCCUUUUUAUGCUGUUAUAUGUUUCAAUAUAUGUAUUUGGGGAGUUUGGAGUAGUUCAGAUAGAUUUUGGAUAGAAAUGAGACAAUUAGUCUCUUUAAGAGAAAGUUAGUUUAAAAAUGUCAAACGAACAUUGACUUAUGAGUUAGAGGGCUCAUAAUAGAUUUUCGAUGAUUCGACUAGUUUUGGACGGUGAUUUGUGAUUUAGGAGCGAAAUCAGAACUGAAUUUAGAGGUCCGAUGUAGAAUUAGGCUUGAAUUGGCUAAGUUAGAAAUUUGGUAAAGUCCGGUUGAUAGGUGAUAUUUUAAUCUAGGAUUCGGAAUGAAAUUCCGACAGUUGCAUUAGCUCCGUUAGGAGAUAUUUGAUAUGUGUGCAAAUUUUCAGAUCAUUUGGAGGUGUUUAGGUCGGGUUUUAGAGCACAUGCAAGUUUCGGAAGUUUUUGUUUAAUUUAGGCUUGAAUCCGUGGAAAUUGGAUGAUUAUGAUGUAUAUGAUAGCUUUUUUAUGUUAUCAGCAAGUUUGAAUGACGUAAUGGGUCAUAUAUGUGCAUUUGUUUGGGGCCUCGAGGGCAUCGGGGUGAUUUCAAGUGUUCAAACGGACUAGUUUUGGCCUUGGGAGAUAGCAGAUUUUUGUUGUUGGGUGUUGCAGGUUUUUGUUAAUCCCGUUCACAUGAGGAGUAACGCGAACACGUAGAGUAAUUUGAGGGAGCCUAGGAUUUUUCCUUCACGUUCGCGAAGGUAAGGACGUGAUUGCGUAGCUGUGGAACCUUGUUGAUCGCGUUUGCGUGAAGUGGUGACGCAUUCGCGUAGGCCUGGGAGGGGGGCCAUCGCGUUCGCGUUAUGGUUGUCGCAUUCGCAUAUGAGGGCCUGGGAACCAUAUCAAGUAAAGCAUCACGUUCGCGUGGCUAAGGUCGCGAACGCGAUGAAGGAAUAUAUGGGAGACAUCAGGGUUUUAAAUGUUAUUUCAUCUGCAAACCAAACAUAUUUUCUACCAUUGUUCAGCAACCAAGAGAGCUUUUGAGCGAUUUGAAGCGGGUUUUCAGCGGGUGUUGAUUGGAGGUAAGUCCCUUGCUUAAAACAUCAUUAUUAGGAAGAAUCAACCCCAAAUUCCAUGAAAUUGUGAAGAACUAGGGCUUAGUUUUUAGAAAACAGAUUUUAGGGAUCAUAAGGGUCAAACGGACUCUAAUUUUGGUGUACCUUAUAUGUAAGGACUCGUCACAAGACGAGGAAUCCAAAUAUGUAAAUUUUAUAAUUUUUUGAGAAGUGGGAUCGGGGCUCGAGUUUUACCAACUUCGUGAUUUUUAACGUUUUUUGAAUAAUUUCAAUUGGGUUAUGUUUAUUUAGCCUAGAAUAACCUACUCGUUGUGGUUUUGGAUAGAUUCGACGCUCGUGGGAGAAUAUUUGAAGGGAAAAGGCAUUGCUGACCAGGCUACGAGCGGUUAGAUGUGAGUAGUUUGUAUAGAUGUUGGUCUGAGGGUUUGGAACCCCGGAUUAUCACAUCGUGAUGCUAUGUUAGGGCGUGACUCACACCCCAUGGCAGGUGCGGGGUUGUAAAUUAUUGAGGAUUGAAAAAUAGUCCAUCCCCUGAGCUGAAUAAAUUAUUUGCAUCUGAUACGCACAUUAUGUUGUUGAUAAUUGGGCUUAAUGCCAUGUUUGGGGCCUUGUGCCGANNNNNNNNNNNNNNNNNNNNNNNNNNNNNNNNNNNNNNNNNNNNNNNNNNNNNNNNNNNNNNNNNNNNNNNNNNNNNNNNNNNNNNNCUUAACGCCAUGUUUGGGGCCUUGUGCCGAUCUGUAGUACCCGUCUAGGGUGAAUAUAUGUGUGAUAACAUGAUUUCAUAAUCAUUGAUCUCAGUACUGUGUUUAAUCAUCGAAAUGAAAUGCUAAGUCACAUUUUCAGAGAUUUAAUAAUUAAAUUAUAUUUGCCUUAAAAAUCGGAAAAUGGGAAUUUAGAUUGAAUCUGUUUAUGUGACUCAUAUGCAUAAUGUGGACUGAGCAUGGGUCGGGCUGCACGAUCCGCAGCGGAUAUAUAUUGAUAUUGCGUUUGGGCUGAAGGAGCCCCUCCGGAGUCUGUACACACCCCCAGUAAGCGUCGUCGACGUUAAAUGGAUCGGACUGCACGUUCCGCAGCGUAUUCAUGUGCAUUGCAUUGAAUCUUUAUUUGAUAUAUGGUUGUUGUUGUGAUACCGUUAUGAUAUUAGCCUGUGGCUAAGUUAUAGGAUUAUUAGUUGUAGCUUUGCGUUGUCGUCUUUUGUGUAUUUCUAAAUUUCAGUCAUUUUCUAUACUUAUUAUUCAUUGAGUCGGUAGUACUCACCCCUACUCCAUGCACCUUGUGUGCAGAUUCAGGUGCACCAGAGGCUUAGCUGAGCAUUCAUUGUCUCCAGAGAUUUUCAGAGUCGUUGAGGUAGCUGCUUGACGUUCGCAUGACCUGGCUACUCUAAUUCUGGUAGUCUCCAGAGAUAUCUUCGGAGUCGUUGAGGUAGCUGCAUGACGUUCGCAGGACCUGGCUGCUCUUCAUUAUUUUUCCAUUUGAUUAUUAUUAUAUACUUUCUCAGAUUUUGGUUUUAGUAUUCAAAUUCUAUUAUUAUUACUCAGCUUUGUUUAUAGCCUCUAGACUCGUGACCCCAAGAUCAUAUGGGUGUGCUUUUGAAUUUCGUAUUCUACUUAUAUCAUAUUAUUAAUAUUUUUUGAUAAUAAUUUUUUGUUUUUCUCGGUUUGAGACUUAAAUGUUAUGUUGAAAGCGAUUGUUGGUCAGGCUUAUCUAGCCUUAGGGCCGGGUGCCAUCACGACCUGGUUGGGUCUACUAGGCCUCAUGAGUCAUGAGCCGGCUUAGCAGAGUCUUGUUUAUGGGUGUGUCGUGCACCACAUUUUUAAGCAGGAGGCUACAAAACUUUUAGGAAACAUUCCAGUUUUCUUGAAAUUCAUAUCGUGAGGUUUGAUAACGUGAAAAACUAAAAUUAUGUAUUCUAUUCUCUUGCAGAUGGGUAGAACUCGUGCUAAUGGACGUGGAGGACGACCACCAGUACCACCUGCUAGAGGCCGUGGACGCGAUCGUGGUGCUGGAUGAGGCAGACCACCUGGGGCAGCACCUGCAGACCCACCAGCUGUCCAGGUCCUGGAUCAGCCUCCAGUUGUUGAUUCUCCGGCUGCACCUAUUCAUGCAGCGACAGUGCCUAUCGUGAUUCCUGGUCUCCAAGAGGCUUUGGCCCAGAUUUUGUCCAUCUGCGCUGGCCAGGCUCAAGCAGUUUCAGCCACUACAGCAUCGGCUACUUCUCAGACCACGGGUGGUCAUCAAACCCCCGAUGCUCGCACUCCCGAGCAGGUUGUUCAGGGCUUAAAGACACCUGUGUAGCUCCAGUUCAGCUAGUUGCUCCAGUUCAGCCAAGUCCGCCAGUUCAGCCAGUUGCACCGCCUGUUCCAGUUGUGUCGGUCACACUUGUUCCAACUCAUGUGUUCCCUUCCCAGGUAUGACGGAUGAUGAUCAGCGGCGGUUGGAAAGGUUCGGUAGGCUCCAACCUCCGACUUUUAGUGGUGCUGAGGGCAAGGAUUCCCAGGGUUUUCUGGAUAAAUGCCACUGUAUGCUAUGCACGGUGGUAUUCUGGAGUCUAAUAGAGUGGCUUUUACCACUUUUCAGUUCACAUGAGCUGCAUUUACUUGGUGGGAAGAGUUCGAGAGGCGUAGGCCUAUUGGGGCAGCGCCCCUCACUUGCCAGCAGUUCUCUACGGUAUUUUUGGAGAAGUAUGUGCCCCAGUCUCACAUGGAGGAGCCGCGUCGUCAGUUCAAGUGGUUGACUCAAGGGGGAUAUGACAGUGACUCAGUACGAGUUGCGGUUUACACAGCUGGCUAGGCAUGCUAUGUGGAUGAUCCCGAUAGAUAGAGAUAGGCCAGCAGUUCUCCAUAGUAUUUUUGGAGAAGUAUGUUCCACAGUGUCACAGGGAGGAGUUGCGUCGUCAGUUCGAGUGGUUAACUCAGGGUGAUAUGUCAGUGACUCAAUAUGAGUUACGAUUUACUUAGCUGGCUAGGCACGCUACGUGGAUGAUCCCGACAGAUAGAGAGAGGAUCAGGAGGUUUAUAGAUGGCCUUAACUAUCUGAUCCGUAUAUUGAUGACUAGAGAUAGCGCUACAACAGCUACUUUUGAGGAGGUUGUUGAUGCGGCUCGUCUGAUUGAGAUAGAUUGCCGUCGGGAGCGUGUGGAGAGAGAGGCUAAGAGGCCUCGAGGUUCAAGUAAUUUCAGCGGCGCUCCAUCUAGGGGCCAUUUCCAGCAGGAUAGAGUUCGUUCCUUCAGGCCUCCUCAGUCCGGACGCACAGAGUCUAGUGGAACCUCUUCAAGCCGGGGCCAUCAGGGACAUCAGCAGAGUCAGCCUGCAUUGAGUGCUCUUCCAGCUCAGAGCUCUGCUCCUGCUCCUUCAGCUCAGGGUUCGUCUGCAGCGAGGGGUUCUCAUUCAGCAGAGUCAGCCUGCAUUGAGUGCUCUUCCAGCUCAGAGCUCUUCUCCUACUCUUUCAGCUCAGGGUUCGUCCGCAGCGAGGGGUUCUCAUCAGUCCCCUUCUCUAAGUUUAGUUUGUUGCUAUGAUUGUGGUGAGUUGGGUCACAUAAGGAGGCAGUGUCCUCGACCCUGCAGUAGGUAGCCUCAGCAGAGGGAUCAGCCCUCGUCUUCUGCACAGGUUUCUUCAGCUUCCACUCAGACAGNNNNNNNNNNNNNNNNNNNNNNNNNNNNNNNNNNNNNNNNNNNNNNNNNNNNNNNNNNNNNNNNNNNNNNNNNNNNNNNNNNNNNNNNNNNNNNNNNNNNNNNNNNNUGAAGUGGUGACGCGUUCCCAGGGGUGGAGGCCAGGCAGCCAGAGGUCGUCCCAGGGGUGAGGACCGUACUGGGGGUGGCCAGGCCCGUUUCUAUGCACUUCUAGAUCGGAGGGACGUUAUUGCCUUGGAUGCAGUUAUCACAGUAUUAUCUCAGUCUUCCACAGGAAUGCUUUUAUUUUAUUUGAUCCCGGAUCUACCUACUCAUAUGUGUCCUCUUAUUUUACUCAUCAUUUGGGUACGACCCGUGGUUGUCUUGCCUUGCCCGUGCAUGUAUCUAUCCCGGUGGGUGAUACUAUAAUUGUGGAUCAUGUCUAUCAAUCCUCUCUGGUAACUAUUGGGGGUCUAGAGACCCGAGUUGAUUUAUUACUAUUGGGCAUGGUGGAUAUAGAUGUAAUUUUGGAUAUGGAUUGGCUAACUCCGUACCAUGCUAUUCUGGACUGUCAUGUUAAGACAUUUACACUUGCUAUUCCGGGUAUUCUGAGAAUCGAGUGGCGAGGCGUGACUGACUAUGUACCUAGCAGGGUGAUUUCUUUCUUAAAAGUCCAACGGAUGGUUGGCGAGGUGUGUUUAUCAUAUUUGGAUUUCGUGAGAGAUAUGGAAGCUGAGGCUCCUAGACUUGAUUCGGUUCCCGUUGUUAGGGAUUUCCUUGACGUAUUUCUAGCGGACUUGUCAGGCAUGCCGCCAGACACGGAGAUUGACUUUGGUAUUGAUCUGGUGCUGGGCACUCAGCCCAUCUCUAUUCCUCUCUAUCGUAUGGCACCAUCAUAGUUAAAAGAAUUGAAGGAACAGCUUCAGGAACACCUGGAUAAGGGGUUCAUUCACCCGAGUGUGUCACCUUGGGGUGCACCGGUGUUAUUGGUAAAGAAGAAAGAUGGCACAAUGAGAAUGUGCAUUUACUACAGGCAACUAAAUAAGGUGACAGUAAAGAACAAGUACCCAAUACCCCGUAUUGAGGAUAUAUUUGAUCAGCUCCUGGGAGCGAGGGUAUUCUCUAAGAUUGACCUUCGAUCAUGCUAUCACCAGCUGAAGAUUAGGGAGUCAGACAUAAUGAAGACGGCUUUCAGGACAAGAUAUGGGCACUAUGAGUUUCUAGUGAUGUCUUUCGGGCUGACUAAUGCCCCAGCCGCGUUCAUGCACUUGAUAAACAGUGUAUUUCGGCCUUAUCUGGAUUCUUUCGUGAUUGUGUUUAUUGAUGAAAUUCUGGUGUAUUCGUGUAGCCAUGAGGAGCAUGCACAGUAGUUGAGGUUGGUCUUACAGCGAUUGAGAGAGGUGAAGCUUUAUGCAGAAUUCUCUAAGUGUGAAUUCUGGCUUAAUACUGUGACUUUUCUGGGACACGUGGUGUCUAGUGGUAGGUCGACCCAAAGAAUAUUAAGGCGGUGCAGAGUUGGCCCAGACCGUCCUUAACUACUGAGAUUCGGAGUUUCCUUGGUUUGGUGGGUAAUUACCGCAGAUUCGUUCAGGGUUUCUCAUCUAUUGCUUCUCAUUUGACAAAGUUGACUCAGAAGAAUGCUCUUUUUGUGUGGACAGACGAAUUUGAGGAGAGCUUCCAGAAGCUCAAGUCGGUUUUUACCACAGCUCCGGUAUUAGUAUUACCUUCAGCUUCAGGAUCUUACACGGUGCAUUGUGAUGCUUCAAGAGUUGGGAUCGGUUGUGUGUUGAUGCAAGAGGGUAGAGUUAUUGUGUAUUCUUCUCGGCAGCAAAAGCCCCAUGAGAAGAACUAUCCCGUUCAUGACUUAGAGAUAGCCACAAUUGUGCAUGCCUUAAAAAUUUGGAGGCAUUAUCUUUAUGGUGUAUCAUGUGAGGUAUAUACGGACCAUCACAGUCUUCAAAAUUUGUUUAAACAGAAAGAUCUUAAUUUUAGACAGCAGAGAUGGUUGGAGUUACUCAAAGACUAUGACACUACCAUUUUGUAUCAUCCCGGGAAGGCCAAUGUGGUGGCAAAUGCUUUGAGCUGGAAGGCUAUCAGCAUGGGUAGUCUGGCGUACAUUCCAGUUAGAGAGAGGCCCCUUGCAGUUGAUGUUCAGGCCUUGGCCAAUCAGAUGGUGAGAUUAGAUAUUCCGAGCCAAGUCAAGUGUUAGCGAGUGUGAUUUCCCGAUCUUCUUUGUAUGACCGCAUCAGAGAGAGGCAGUAUGAUGACCCGCAUUUGCUUGUCCUGAAGNNNNNNNNNNNNNNNNNNNNNNNNNNNNNNNNNNNNNNNNNNNNNNNNNNNNNNNNNNNNNNNNNNNNNNNNNNNNNNNNNNNNNNNNNNNNNNNNNNNNNNNNNNNNNNNNNNNNNNNNNNNNNNNNNNNNNNNNNNNNNNNNNNNNNNNNNNNNNNNNNNNNNNNNNNNNNNNNAUGACCCGGAUUUGCUUGUCCUGAAGGACAGGGUCCAGCAUGAUGAUGCCAGAGAUGUGACCAUUGGAGAUGAUGGCGUAUUGCGGAUGUAGGGCCGGAUUUGCGUGCCCAAUGUAGAUGGUCUCCGGGAGUUGAUUUUAGAGGAGGCUCACAGCUCGCGGUAUUCAAUUCAUCCGGGUGCCGCGAAGAUGUACCAGGAUUUGAGACAGCAUUACUGGUGGAGGAGAAUGNNNNNNNNNNNNNNNNNNNNNNNNNNNNNNNNNNNNNNNNNNNNNNNNNNNNNNNNNNNNNNNNNNNNNNNNNNNNNNNNNNNNNNNNNUUGAGACAGCAUUACUGGUGGAGGAGAAUGAAAAAGGAUAUUGUGAAUUAUGUGGCUCGGUGUCUCAACUGUCAGCAAGUCAAAUACGAGCACCAGAAACCCGGUGGUGUAUUGCAGCAGAUGGAUAUUCCGGAGUGGAAAUGGGAAAACAUUACUAUGGAUUUUAUGAGUGGUCUUCCUCAUACCUCGAAGAAGUUUUAUUCGGUUUGGGUGAUUGUGGAAAGGCUGACUAAGUCUGCGCACUUUAUUCCAGUAUGUACUACCUAUUCAGCGGAGAAAUUAGCAGAGAUUUUCAUCCGGGAGAUUGUACGGUUGCAUGGGAUCCCAGUUUCCAUUCUAUCAGAUAGGGGUACCAUGUUUACUUCCCAGUUCUGGAGGACUUUCAUCGGGAGUUGGGAACACAGGUACAGUUGAGCACAGCAUUUCACCCACAGACGGACGGACAGUCCGAGCGCACGAUUCAGAUAUUAGAGGACAUGUUAUGUGCCUGUGCUAUUGACUUUGGAGGUUCUUGGGCUGAAUUCUUGCUACUUGCGGAGUUUGCGUAUAAUAACAGCUAUCAAUCCUACCUUCAGAUGGCACCAUAUGAGGCCUUAUAUGGGAGACGGUGUAGAUAUCUGGUUGGUUGGUUGGAGCCCGGCAAGGCUAGACUAUUGGGGACAGAAUUAGUUCAGGAUGCCUUAGAGAAGGUGAAAGUAAUCCAGGAGAGACUUCGUACUACUUAGUUGCGUCAGAAGAGUUAUGCGGACUGGAACAAUCGAGAUGUAUCUUAUGCCAUGGGCGAAAAGGCCUUGCUGAAGGUUUCGCCUAUGAAAGGCGUUAUGAGGUUUGGAAAGAAAGGGAAGCUGAGUCCAAGGUUUACUGAGCCUUUUGAAAUACGUAGGAGAAUCGGGGAGGUGGCAUAUAUGCUAGCCUUGCCACCUAACUUAUUGGGAGUUCACCCGGUGUUUCAUGUUUCUAUGCUCUGGAAGUAUGUAGGGGACCCGUCCCAUGUGUUAGACUUCAGUACGAUCCAGUAAGAUGAAGAUUUGACCUAUGAUGUGGAGCCGGUGGCUAUUUUGGGUCAUCAGGUUCGAAAGUUGAGAUCAAACGACAUAGCUUCGUGAAGGUGUAGUGGAGAGGUCGGCCUGUGGAGGAAGCCACAUGAUAAACCGAGCAGGAGAUGCGGAGAAAAUAUCCUCACUUGUUUGAUACUCCAGGUAUGUUUCUUAACCUGCUCGAGGAUGAGCGUUUGUUUAAGUUGGAGAGGAUGUAACGACCUGACCCGUCGUCCCGUGUAUUUCCGCCCCAUUUUCCCCUUUUAUGCUUUUAUAUGUUUCAAUAUAUGUAUCUGGGGAGUUUGGAGUAAUUCGGAUGGGGUUUGGAUAGAAAUGAAAAAAUUAGUCUCUUUAGAGAAAGUUAGUUUGGAAAAGUCAACCGAACAUUGACUUAUGAGUUAGAGGGCUCGGAAUGGAUUUCCGAUGAUUCGACUAGUUUUGGACGGUGAUUUGUGACUUAGGAGCGAUAUCAAAAUUGAAUUUGGAGGUCUAGUGUAGAAUUAGGCUUGAAUUGGCUAAGUUAGAAAUGUAGCGAAGUCCGAUUGAGAGGUGAUAUUUUUAUCCGGGAGUUGGAAUGAAAAUCCGACAGUUGCAGUAGCUCCGUUAGGCAAUUUUUGAUAUGUGUGCAAAUUUUCAGAUCAUUCGAAGGUGUUUAGGUUGGAUUUUGGAGAAAAUGCAAGUUUCGGAAGUUUUAGUUUACUUUAGGCUUGAAUCUGUGGAAAUUGGAUGAUUCUGAUAUUUGUGAUAGAGUUUUUAUGUUACGAGCAAGUUUGAAUGAAGUAAUGGGUCAUAUCUGUGCAUUUGGUUGGGGACCCAAGGGCUUCGGGGUGAUUUCGAGUGUUCAAACGGACUAGUUUUGGCCUUGGGAGAUAGCAGUGUUUGCUGUUGGGUGUUGCAGGUUUUUGUCCAUCGCGUUCGCGUGAGGAGUAACGCGAAUGCAUAGAGUAAUUUGAGGGAGCCUGUGAUUUUUCCUUCACGUUCGCGAAGGUGAGGCACGCGGUCGUGUAGCUGUGGAACCUUGUUGAUCGAGUUCGCGUGAAGUGGUGACGCGUUCCCGUAGGCCAAGGAGGAGGGCCAUCGCGUUCGCGUUGUGGCUGUCGCGUUUACGUAUGAGGGCCUGAGAGCCAGAUCAUGUAAUGCAUCGCGUUCGCGUGGUUAAGGUCGUGAACGAGAUGAAGGAAUUUCUGGGCGACAGAAGGGUUUUUAAUGUUAUUUCAUCCGCGAACCAAACAUAUUUUCCACCAUUGUUAAUAAAACAAGAGAGCUUUUUGAGCAAUAUAAAGCGGAUUUUCAGCGGGUGUCAAUUAGAGGAAAGUCCCUUGGCUUAAAAACAUCAUUUUAUGGAAGAAUCAACCCCAAAUUCCAUGAAACUGUGUAGAAAUUGUGAAGAACUAGGGCUUAGUUUUUAGAAACGAGUUUUAGGGAUUUGAAGGAUCAAACGGACUCCGUUUUUGGUGAACCUUAUAUGUAAGGACUCAUCGCGAGACGGGGAAUCCAAAGAUGUAAAUUUCAGAAUUUUUAGAGAAGUGGUCUCGGGGCUCGGGUUUUACCAACUUCGUGAUUUUUAACGUUUUUCGAAUAAUUUCAAUUGGGUUAUGUUUAUUUAGCCUAGAAUAACCUAUUCGUUGUGGUUUGGAUAGAUUCGACACUCGUGGGAGAAGAUUUGAAGGGAAAAGGCAUUGCAGAACAGGCUAUGAACGGUUAGAAGUGAGUAGUUUAUAUAGAUGAUGGCCUGAGGGUUUGAAACCCCGGCUUAUCACAUUGUGACGCUAUGUUAGGGCGUGACUCUCACCCCAUGGUAGGUGCAUGGUUGUAAAUGAUUGGGGAUUGUGACAUAGUCCAUCCGUGAGCUAAAAAAACUAUUGGCGUCUGAUACGCACAUUGUGUUGUUGAUAAUUGGCUUAAUUCCAUGUUUUGGGCCUUGUGCCGAUUUGCAGUACCCGUCUAGGGUGAAUAUUAGUGUGAUAACAUGAUUUCAUAAUCAUUUAUCUCAGUCAUGUGUUUAAUCAUCGAAAUGAAAUGCUAAGUCAAUUUUUCUGAGAUUUAAUAAUUAAAUUACAUUGCCUUAAAAAUCGGAAAAAUGGGAAUUUAGAUUGAAUCUGUUUAUGUGACUCAUAUGCAUAUUGUGGACUGAGCAUGGGUCGGGAUGCACGAUCCGCAACGAAUAUAUAUUGAUAUUGCGCUUGGGAUGAAGGAGCCCCUCCGGAGUCUGUACACACCCCCAGUGAGCGUCGUCGACGUUAAAUGGAUCGGGCAGCAUGCUGCAGCUAUUCAUGUGCAUUGCAUUGCAUCUUUAUCUGAUACUUGACUGUUAUAAUUGAAGCAUAUUCCGCAGCGUAUUCAUGUGCAUUGCAUUGUAUAUUUAUCUGAUAUAUGGUCGUUGUAGUGAUACUGUUAUGCUGUUAGCAUGUAGCUAAGUUAUAGGAUUGUUAGUUGUAGCUUUGCAUUAUUGUCUUUUAUGGAUUUCUUACUUUCAGUCAUUUUCUAUACUUAUUAUUCACUGAGUCGGUAGUACUCACCCCUACUCCCUGCACCUUGUGUGCAGAUUCAUGUACACCAAAGGCUUAGCUGAUUCUCGUAGUCUCCAGAUAUAUUUUCAGAGUUGUUGAGGUAGAUGCAUGACGUUCGCAGGACCUGGCUUCUCUUCAUUAUUUCUCCAUUUGAUUAUUAUUAUAUACUUUCCUAGAUUUUGGUUUUAGUAUUUAGAUUCUAUUAUUAUUACUAGUUAGAGGUUCUAGACUCGUGACCCCCAGAUCAUAUGGGUGUGCUUUUGAAUUUCGUAUUCUACUUAUAUCAUAUUAUUAAUAUUUUUGGAUUAUUAUUUUGUUAAUUUUCUCGGUUUGAGACUUAAAUGUUACGUUGAAAGCGAUUGUUGGUCAGGCUUACCUAGCCUUAGGGUGGGGUUCCAUCACGACCGGGUUGGGUCGUGACAGCGGUGGUUCGUUGGUGUUUGACGAGUGACGAAGGAGCAGAAACGGAUGAAGGUCAUGGGUCAUUGGUAGUCGAUUGGUAGACUGCCUGGGGGACGAUGAUGGAGGGGCAGGGGUUUAGCCUGGGUGUUCAUGAUGACAUGGGUGGCUAUGGUGGUUUAGGGUUUGAGGGUGUGUUUUGAGAAGAUGACGAAGAAGGGGCUGGGGUUUUUUUUUUCUUGUCCUAGCUCAAAAAAUGAGAGACAAAUCUGAUGGGUUUGGUCAUUUUGGGGGGUGUUGGACCGGGUCGGGAUAUGGGUCAUGGGGUGUGGUAUUGGUAUUGUUUUUGGGUUGGAUAGAAGUGUUUUGGGUCUAAUUGUAAUACCGAAAAUUGGCCCAGUCCGAGUUUGUUUUUCUUAUUUCUUGAUCUCUUUUCUUUUAAUUAAUAAAACUAAAAUUCUAAAUUAUGUUAUAAGUUAAUUUAACUCAAAAAUACUAAUUAACUUCUAACAACAAUGAUCAUACACAAUUAAACACCAAUAAAAAUAAAAUUGCACAAUUUGACAUCAAAUGCUAAAGAUGCCUAUUAUGUGAUUCUUUUUUUUGGUAAAAUAAACUUAAUUACUCCUAAUUGUAGAAUUAAAUUAUAAAUGCAAACGCGACCUAUUUUUAUAUUUUUUUAGUAAUUUAGCAAAUAAACAUGCACAUAUAAAUGCAAAUAAUACAAGGAAAAUAACAGAAAAUUUACAACAAUUGCAAACAAAAUAAAAAUUAUUUUAUUUUAUAUUUUCUCGGAGUACUUCAUAUAUAGGGCAAAAAUCACAUGCUCACAGCUGCCCCUCUUUGUCCGAAAGCACGAAGGCGUUUUGUGCAAAGAUAAAGUGAGUGGAUACGAACGAUUUUUGCCCGUUGGAGUACUCCAUGUGAAGCAUUUUUUGAAAGUUUUGACCGAACCUUUGCUUCGAAGGUUUCCUACAUAUCCCUGGCUAAAAGGGAAUCAGGUCAAUGUAGUUCGGAAAGUUUUGGUAGCUGGGACUACAAGGGGACUAUAAUUCUGUUGUUACUGCUGCUGUACGAUGUUACUACUGCUUACUAAUCUCCUUAUUACACCGUGUCAAAGAUAAAAACAAGAAGCUAGGCUAGCCUACGGAUCACAAGAUCCUAUCUAUCUUCAAUUUGUUUUUGGCUGGCCUUGCUUUCUUGUCGGCAUGCGUUUCUUGCAGUGCUUUCUUCCGAGAGUUUGUGGAUGACACUGACCUUUUGCUUGUCUGAACACUAGUUUUCAUAGGCCUUGCUUUCUUGUCAGCUUGUGUUUCUUCCGGUGCUUCUUUCUUCCGAGAGCUUGGGAUGACACUGACCUUUUGCCUGUCUGAACACUAGUUUUCAUUGAUCUUUUCUUGGUCUGCUGGGGAUAUGGCUUCCCUCAUUACGCUUCUUGGAAAUUCCACUGCGGAGACGGCUUUCUUUCAUCAGCAUUUGUUAUGCUGGGGCUUUUGUUGUAACCUUCUGCCUUCCGGGGGGUUACCGAUUUCAAAUCAUAAUUGCAAAGCUAUAUGACUGGAGUUAUAUGCGAUGUGGUUAUAUGAGAUGUAGAUUCAAAGUGACACGUAGUCACAUGAGAUGCAGAUGCAAGAUGGCGCAUAGUUCAAAGCUAUAUGACUGGAGUUAUAUGUGAUGCAGUUAUAUGAGACGUAGUCACAUGAGAUGCAGAUGUAAUAUGGCGUGUCGUCAUAUGAUAUGUAGAUGCAAAGUGACACGUAGUCACAUGAGAUGUGGUUGCUAAGUGACGCGUAGUCACAUGAGAUGUAGAUGCAAAAUGACACGUAGUCAUAUGAGAUGUUGAUGCAAAGUGACACGUAAACACAUGAGAUGUAGGAUGCAAAGCUAUAUGACACGUAGUCAUAUGAGAUGAAGUCAUAACUUGAAUUCGGUUUCCCCUUUUUUCGAGGAAAUUUUUGACAAAGGCAGAAAAUUUUCUACCCCAGUUCUGGCGUUCUCAUAGUCACAUGAGAUGUAGAUACAAAGUGACACAUAGUCACAUGAAAUGUAGGAUGCAAAGCUAUUGUGACACGUAGUCACAUGAGAUGUAGGAUGCAAAGCUUUAUGACACGUAGUCAUAUGAGAUGGAGUCAUAACCUGAAUACGGUUUCCCCCUUUUCCGAGGAAAUUUUCGACAAAGGCAGAAAGUUUUCUGCCCCAGUUCUGGCACUCUCCCUUGUGGUAUGCCCUUCUGCAAUUAUCAGCAUUUCUUAUUCUGCUUCAAAUCAAAGAAAACUUUAUUAGUUCAAAACAUGGUGAGCGGUUGUGCCACUCCUACUGGGAUUCUCUUGGGAUUUGGUCCAUGUUUUCCCAACUUUUGCCUUUCCAGCUUUUUCCAUACUUCUCCUGAUAUUCUGGACCCAUCCGGUGUGAGUGAAUUGGUUACUUUGGUAAACCAAACCUAACCAACUCUACACCAAUUCAAACAAGGACGUUCUAUUCAAGAGGGUCUUGCAACAACGCUUUUUCUUUUUGUUGCCUUGUCUUCCGCUUGCCUUGUUCGUAUUUUGCCUUGUACCAUUUGGCAACUGGCAGCAAGCCCUGACAAACCUUUCUCAAAAAUAAACUGCUAGGGGGAAAGUCAAGAAAAGGGAGAAAAUCUUUUUGAACGAACGCUGGGAAAAGAAAAAACUUAUAUGGGUGGUGUACUAGCCCCGAUGAUCAUGUCAUAUAUUCUAGAAUAAUCAACCCAGUCUAUUGGUAUUAAUCAAUUUUGGAUGGCUUCAUCUGCUGGGGAUAAACAAGUGCCCAACUUUUUCCGAAAUGUGGAUCCUUUCCGCCAACCUUAUCUUGUCGCCUCAUAGUGCCCUUCGAGGGGUUUUCACUAAUAAGACUCUCUCAUUUCUAUUGGCUCUCGUCGCCUCAUGGAGCCUGUGAAGGUUUUCACCGCAAGACUCUCUCAUUUUGUUUUCUCUCAGCUUUUGUCGCCUUAUGGUACCUGUGAAUGUUUUCACCGAUAAGACUCUCUCAUUUUAUUUUCUCAGUUGGAAUGAGAGCGUUACCAAUAAGAUUCUUUCUACUAGGGAAUUCUUUGGCUAUCAACUCUACUGGGGAUUCCUUUGGCUAGCAAUUCUGCUAGGGAUUCCUGCUAGCAAUUCUGCUGAUAAUUCUUGCUAGCAGUUCCCUCAGCUCAUGAUCUUCCUUCGUCCGGGAUCAGUGUAUCAUUCCUGGCUUCUAUUUUCCCGACUCGGCACCUUUCGGAUACUGAUCGGGAGGUCUUUUUUGGUUAUAACAUGUGGGUUUUGUGGGCUUGAAAGAAAAAUGGGUAUCAAAAAUUCGAAGUGACUUUGAUGGGUGAGAGACAACAACCCUUGGAAUCAAAAAUUUUCUAACAACCUAACUUCUGCCCCAGUUAAAGGGUAUCAAAAAUUUGAAGUGACUUCGAUGGGUGAGAGACUACAACUCUUGGAAUCAAACAUUUUCUAACAACCUAACUUUUGCCCCAGUUUUUUGGUUGGGGAUUUUUGGAUUUUUUGCGACAUUUUGUCACACUAUGACCGAGCCGUGAGGCGCCUACGUAUCCUUUCUUGAGGAAUCAGGUCAAACAUAGUUCCCAAAUAUUUGUUUUCUUAUGAUUUUCUUAUCAUUUUUCUCUUCUUUUUUUUCUUUUUUUUAACGAUUCCAAAAUAGGGGUAUGAAAGAACGAAUACGGCUCAAAGGGGGAAACAAAGGUUGACAAUGUUUAGGUAGAAGAAAGAAUUGCCUCCGUCAUUUCGUUAUCCGAUGAACACCAAGUACAAACGUUAACAGUGUUUCGGUAGAAGAAAGAAUUGCCUCCGUCAUUUCGUUAUCUGAUGAAUACCAAGUACAAAAAAACAAAAUAAUGAUAACACAAUUAAGGAAUUCACACAUAGUAUCUCUUGAUUGCGUCAGAAUUGAUAGCCAUGUCAAUGCAUCUUCCUUCGACAUCCAUCAAGCAUAAAGUGCCAUUGGAUAACACUUUCGUCACAACAAAUGGUCCUUGCCAGUUUGGGGCAAACUUGCCCUUUUGCCUCGACCUGAUGAGGGAGGAUCUGUUUCAAUACGUGCUGCCCUACUUCAAAUAUCCUGAUGUAGGAGAAUCCGUUUCAAUAUGGAUGCUGAUUUUGGUUUCCCUUACAUUAUCGGCCUUCCCCUAAUUUCCAGCUUCAGUGUCAUUUAAGUUGAGCUUGGAUUUUUCUUCGUACUGCUUAGUUCCCUGUUUACCUCUUUAAAGACUUCAUCCUCAUCAUAUUUCGAUUCACUAUCACAGUCGAUCUCUUAUAUAAUUAGCUCGGAAUUAGAUUGAUCAUUUAGAGUGGGCCGAAGUUUCGUCUUACAUGCCAUAUCAUCAAUACUAGUAAAAAGAGUAUUGUUCAGAAAGCGAAAGAAGACUGGGCCAAAGAUCCAUCAUGCAUGCCAUAUCAUCAGAACCAGUAAAAAGAGUAUUUUUCAGAAAGCGAAAGAAGAAGAAACAAAAUUAAACAAAACAAGAAAAACUUUUACUUUAAUAAAAUAAGGGAUAACAAGGUUCACACUUUUGCUAAAAGUAAAACAAAAUUUGGAUCACACCCUAGAAUAAUCCGGAAAACAAGAAGGAAAAUCAGAGCCCACUACCAAGACUCCCUCCAACUGGCCCAGACAUGAAACAUUUUUCCAAUUAACAAGCACGGCAAUUUUAGCCAUUAAGCUUCGCAUCCAUAUUGCCGGACGAUUAUUUGCUUCAAGAUCUUCAGAUUUAGUCAGUAUAUUCUCGUACCCCAUGUCACCGGGCAUCAUCCCCACAAAGUGUGCAUCAUCAAGUUUAUGUAAAGGAUUCAGUGUAAUAUUCUGGGUGUCAGUGUCUUGAAUCAAAUUUCCUGGAUCUUAUGCCUCCAGUUACCACAAACCGAUCACUCCAGCUUUCUCAACAUUCAAAACACGACAUGUUAGAAUGGACUUAUUAACAGCAUCUUUUGCCUUCUUUUUUUUCAUUUUUUCUUUUUUUCAAUUUUUUUUCAUUUUAUUUUUUUAUUUUUUGUGGUCGAAUCUUAUGGAGAUUGCCUACGUAUCAUGACCCCGCAUGAAUCAGACCUUGCGUAGUUCGGACAUGAUUACAACAGUUUAAAAACUGACUAUACUAACAGACUUCGACGAAAAGACGACCUACAUACUUGAAAAUCAAAACAUACGACACCCUAAGCCGAAGAAUUACAAACUCAAACACAAAUGGCAUGCUUCCUUUCCCUGUUUGCCAAUUUCAACCAAAUGGUUAUCUUUGCAAAUGUGGCCCCUUCCCAAUUUCACGUGAAUUUUGAUGUUGUGGAGGAUUUUUUUAUGACACUACAAACUGGUCCAUUCUUUUAUCAAAAUAGCCUUUCGACAACUGAAUGAUACUCUAAGGCUAUCUGGCAAGAAUGGUUUAAUACAUUGCCGAAGCUGGCUCGACUUAUUUUUGACUAAAAAUUUUAAUGGCAAUCACUUGUCCCCUAACUUUUUUUCAAAUUAAAAUAAAAGGCCAAGUUUUGCAAAGACGGCCUUUCAGCACUUGGGGGACAAAGAUUUUAAGGCUGUGUGGGUCAGCUGGCCAAAAUUUAAAAAAACAUGACCCAAAGGUGGCUGUUUAUGCAAAAUCAACCUUCCGGGGCCCCAUUCAAGAACAUUCUACUAUUUUUGAUUAAAAACAGCAUCACCCAUCUUAUUUAUGACGAAAAUAAAAACUUUGAUAUUUUUUGCAAAGGGAAUGUUGAACCCGAUGGGGGUUGCCUACAUAUCUCACACCUUGUGAGAAUCAAACCAGCAUAGUUCGCCCAAGAAACCGAACUAUUUUAAAACAUGACUCUUUUCACUUUUAUUUUUUGUCAUUUAAUAAACAAAUUAAAACUAUAUUUAGAAACAAGACUCUUUUUUUCCUUUUUCUUUUUUCAACAAACAAUAAAACAACCUAUUUUUCUAAACUAGAAAUAAAAGACUUUUUUUUUCAGCAAACAAUUUUCCAAAAAUGAAAGACUUUUUUUUCUCUAUUUUUCCGUUUCUUUUAGUAAAAUAGAAUAUUUAAAAAUAAAAAAUUUUACUUUUUUUUUUCAAAAUUUCGACAGAAUUUCGCCAGUACUUGGACAUAAGAGACUCUCUAUCUCUAUCUCUCUCUCUCUCUCUCUCUCUCUCUCUCUCUCUCUCUCUCUCUCUCUCUAGAUUAAUCCUCUAACUCUCCAAAUGCUAUUUUUCUUUUUCUCAAUUUUCAAAUAUUCCCGAGAUUCAGAAGCCGGUCAACAUGCGGGUCCGAAACAAAUAAAUGCCCAUAACACAAGUAGGAUGCAUCAAGAUGGUCUUUUCUAUUUCUGGUUGCUAUUCCUAGAUGGACCCAACCCCUGUGUUGAGUCCCCUAAGUCAACAAUGCACAUGAUGCAGAUAAGCGUUCCUACUAGGGAUCCGGCAUGAAGUCGAGUUAUCCUAAGUUCAAAACCUGGGUGUUUGUUCUAGACCUGGCUUACCCGAGUGGACAGCUCGAGCCAAAGAGGAGGCGGCAAUCCUUGAAUACAAAAGCUUCGCCAACUUUGCGACUUAUCCAAACCUCGUUCAAAAUUGGAAUUUGACACUAGAUAGAAAAUAAGUCGUACACGGUACACCCUUCUUCACAAUUCAGAAGGCUCAGAGAGGAAAUGGAUUACGACACAGUUUAUAUACAGUUCACGUAAUAUCAAAACGGUAAAAACAAUCAAUUAGCACAUUAAGCACAUAUCAUGUAACAGAAUCAGAUAAAGCCAAACACAACAAGUGUUCUAAGCUCGAAUUCUGAACCUUGAACAAAACGUUCUGGGUUCUCUUCCCAGCAUAAUCGCUAGAGCUGUCACACCUCCUUUUUCACAUGGGGGGUGAAGAGGAGUUUUUUCCAAUUAAAGGACAAUCGGAAUGGAAUUUAUUUAAAAGAUUCAGAGUCGCCACUUGGGAGAUUUAUGGUGUCCCAAGUCACCGGUUGGAUCCCGAACCGAGAAGGUGUUAGGCAUUACUGGGAGAAAGUGUUAGGUAUUCCCGAGUUCCGUGGUUCUAGCAUGGUCGCUCAACUGUUGCAUUUAGCUUUUAUCCUAUUUUAUUACAUGAAGAACCUAUGUGCCAAUUUUACUUUUUACCGCUUUUAUUUAAUAUAUAUUUAUUUGAAAAAAUGAACGUCGUUUAAAGUGUGAUUUCGGAUUGUGCUGCCGAAGCCCGCAAUCCUAGGAAAACUCUAUCCGAUGUUUCAGAAUUUGGAUUUGGGGCGCAUAAAAUGCCCACCCUAGUUAAGGGAAGAUAACGCUAUUAAGUACGCAUCUAAAGAUGCUAACGCGUUAUUAUUUUUUAGAAGACCGUGAAAUUUGCUAAACGGCCCAUUCCGGAGUCUAAGAAUUUUAAUAUACACACUUAUUGAGGGCCCCGCAACUUAUAAGUUUUUAUUUUGGCGAGGCACGCCUCCUUUAUUUUAAGGAUAUCCUAAACUGACUAUAUUUCUAUUAAACUUGUCUCUAAAAUAAAAGCGAGAAAAAUCCCAAUUAAUUACAUGCUUUAAAAUAUAUAAAAAAACGUAACACACUAAUUGCCAGAUUAAGGCAUAUAUUAAUGGAAAAGAAUUUUACUAAAAAAAUAUUUCAAAAAUAUAAAUAAACAAAAAAAAAUUCAAAAUAAUAAAUAAAAUACGAAAAUCGACAACUAAUAUUCAAAAGAAAUCAAUUAUAGAUAGAUUAAAUCCCGCACUGUUAUAUGAAUAAACCAUUAAUUAUUUACAACUAUUUAAAAUUAAAAUCAACCUUAAUUAUUAAUGUUUAUUCGAAAGUUUAUUAAAUCUAAACGUUAAACCAUCUUGCUUGAACUCAAAUCAUGCCUAUUAAAUUAACAUUAUCCCUUGCUACAUCUUGAUCCUACAAAAUUAAUAACCAACUAUAUUUCUCUAAUACUUGCGGAUCUUUGUUACUAACAAGAUUCAAAAAUCACCAAAUUCAAAUUACUUCUAUUCCAAUAUUCGCAAGUUCAGAGCUAGAUCUUACCAACCAAAUAAGUUAAAUCGAUUCUCCAUAUUCGCUAUUUACCAAUUUGAAUUGAAGGUGAUUCCAUAUUACCUUAUAUAUGUAAAAGACGACUAAGGAUGAAAUCUAGUUAUCGAUCUACUAACGACAUGUUCAUUCCUACAAAUCACAUAACUAUAUUAAAUAUAUAAUUAAACAACUACAAAUUGCAGUUUUAAAACAAAUAAAGCUUCAGUUAAGUACAAACUACCUAAUGCAUUUCUGUUGAAUUAUAAACCAAAAAUUACAGAACUAAUUAUCAUUUUAUCUAUUAAUCUAGAAGUACAAUAUUUCAUAAUAAAAAGGUCUUCACAUUUCAACUCAUGCUCAACUGCGCAGUUACACCAGUAUUAAACUCAAGUGAAUACCUGGAUAAAAGAAAUAGGACAGGUGUCAACUACACAGUUACACAAGUAUUUAAAUCAAGUGAAUACCUUGAUUAGAGAAGUAGGACAGGAGAAGAAAAGGAUCAGCAGUAACAAAGCAACAAUAGCAAAUAGCAACAGCAGUAGCAAAUUGAACACCCAGUGACAGAUUUUAAAACCAACAGAGAUCAUUCCACAUCCAAUAAACAGAUUCAAAAAUAAUCCAACAGCAACACCAAUAUCAGAAACCCAANN